UUCACAAACGGUUUUAAAUUCCACUUGCAUCUGCAAAAUGCAUUUUUAUCGCAAUAUUUAUAAUCAAUGCAAUGCAAUGUAAAGCUGCAUUAAGUAUAUUAUUACUUGUGUUAAUCACACGUGUCUAUUGAAACAAAAUGAAACGCAUAUUAAUUUUAUUAGUAUGGGGGGCGUUUUUCUAUAUCUUAUUUGCAAACAUGGUGAACGGGAGUCGCAUCAUGUCGGCUUCGAGGCUCAGAAAACUUUACAACAACACAAAAAAUGCACAGUGACACAUUUAAAGGAGUCCUCCAAAUGAUAUACCUAUAUGAAAACGCCAUAAUUAAUUUCUUAUUAUUCUUCUUUCAUUCACUUCUUCUCCAUCUUCGUUUCAAGUUAUAAAAAAAAAUUGAAUGUCUAAAAUUCUUAUUUUUCUUUCAUAUUAUUUUUAUGUGUAAUCCUGUAUCAUGUCAUGAAAUUAUACUAAACAUAUUAUGCACAUUCAUUCAAAAGUAACAAUAUAAAGCAGAUAUUAUAUCAUGUGUACCAGUAAAAAAAUAUAUUUAUUUA